rnacentral:rRNA from 1 species
UACGUAGGCAGCGAGCGUUGUUCGGAGUUACUGGGCGUAAAGGGUGUGUAGGCGGUUGUUUAAGUUUGGUGUGAAAUCUCCCGGCUCAACUGGGAGGGUGCGCCGAAUACUGAAUGACUUCGAGUGCGGGAGAGGUGAGUGGAAUUCCUGGUGUAGCGGUGAAAUGCGUAGAUAUCAGGAGGAACACCUGUGGCGAAGGCGGGUCUCUGGGCAACAACUGACGCUGAGGAGCGAAAGCGUGGGGAGCGAACAGG